GUUAGGGAUUGCGUAAGGUCAAGUGAGGCCAGGUCAGGUCAGGGUGGAGUCAGGGAUGGGAUUGUAGGUUUGUGUUAGGGUCAUGCGAGGGUCAGGAUCAAGAAUGCAGAUUGGGUUAGUAUUAGGGUUAGAGUUAGGGAUUGUGUCAUGUCAGGUCAGGUCAGAUUAAGGUGAGGGUUGAGUCAGGCACGUGAUUGUAGGUUAGGAUUAGAAAGUGGUUAAUCAAGUUAGGAUUAGAUUGGGUUACUAUCAGCAUUAGGGUUAGGGAUUCUAUCAGGUU
rnacentral:lncRNA from 1 species